GUUUAUGACUAGAUUUGAAGCUUCAGACGAAUUCACGAGGCGAAGGCUUGUUGAAAUUUUGAAUUGGUAGCAAAGCGAGUUUCAGCCUACAAGAACCAGUGUAUCAAAUUUAUGUACCUGGUAUUUGGAAAGCAAAGAGAAGAAGAGGAAGAUCAGCAGGAAGUGUGCAACAAACAACAACGCAACAGCCACAGCAAUAAUCGCUAAACCAGUAAUCAGAAAUCCCAGUAGUACUGGAAAACCAAUUUGUGAUUUUCAGAAAAACCAAACAUAUAUACCAGAAACCCAGGAAUGAUACCAAAAUACCGACAGUAUCACAAGAAAAAAUAGAAUGUAUUCAGAAAUGAGAUAUGACAGUAGAUUUUCUGAUUUCUGUUCUUUCGACUCCCAAAUAAAGACACUAGACCCUCAAUUUAAACAGUAACAAACUGAUUCUGACUUUCAAUAGUGAAAGAAAGUAGAUCUCCUCAGUUUAAACUCUCGAACUCUGGAAUUUUUAAGGUUCAAAAAGCCCUAUUUCUGUUUUUGUUUUAUUUCUGAAAAUCUGCUCUCUCCAAUUUCCUUCUGAAAAUUUCAGCUUAUAUCUUUACUUAAACUCUCAAUUUCUAACCAAAAAAAAAUUCCCCCCUCCUUUAUGUCAGAUUCACAACUUCUUAAAUAAGCAUUUCAGUUAGUGCAUCCUCCACUUAAUAUUCUACUUUUCAUUUCUUAAUUAACCCAUUAUACUAGUGCUGAUUAUUUUAACAAUUAGUGCACCUUUCAGCCCCUUAAAAUCAGCAACAAGUGUCAUUCCCAUUAAGAGGUGUUUUCACUUAGUCUAAUAGCAGCCCUAGUUUAAUUAGUAGGUAUCCUAAUUCCCAAACUACCCCUUAAACUACCCCUGAUAUUACUGUAUUGCCCUAAGUUUACUAGUCUGGAAUUAAAAAGUUCAAACCCAAAACUGAUUUCUAACUAUCUCCUAAUUGUUUACAGUUAUAUCCCAAUUCAUAUCCUAAGCUCAACUCAAAAUCAGAUCACAAGGGGUGUCAAUCAAAUGACAUGAGUUGAUCAAAUUGGAAACCAAUCCUGAUCAGCUCAUAUCAGAUGAUCAACAGGGAGAAAACAAUGAAGCAAGCUUCUUUCAAUACAAGCUUAAACACAGAGAAGAAAAACAUGCUGGUAAUUACACUGAAACGAACAAAAUCAUGCUUCUCUAAUUUUUUAAUCGAUUUUAAUUGACGAUACUUAUUUAAUCGACUAUAUGAACUAUUAUAUGUAACAACUAAUCAACAAACAACAUAUACUAAACAGGUCACCAAAUGACUCCAACUUUUUGGACACUUAGCAGGGAACCUAUCUAAAACACUUAAUGAGUUUUAGUCCAGUUGAACACAUAGUUCAUCAUACAUAUAUGUUUAACAGUCAAACAGAAAAAUCGACCAAAUAAAAGAUCUGUGGAAGAUGAACAGAACUGAAAGAAAAAUAUAAUAAAAUCACAUCAAUUAAACUAACAUACAAACAAACAACAAAUAAUACACAAAAUAUGAAUAGAAGGAAAAGAAAGACUUAUCUUUGAAAGCUCAUGAAUAAAGGACCCAGAGCUCAAGUGGACUCGACCAUUUUAGGUCGAAUGGACCUUAAUCAGGGUGUUCUCAGUUGAGAACACCUAGAUUAAGGUCUAUUAGACCUCAAUCUCCCGCUAAUUUGGACAAACCCCCAACUUUUGGAUUUCUAGGGUUCACAGGGGUGUUUUUGGGAUUCGAGGGUUUCUGGUUAGAUUCGAACCCAACCUUCGUUGGUUUAGGCCUAAGGGGGGUCAGGGGAGUGUUAGGUAUCAGUUUGGGAUGGUUUGGAAUGGGUUGAGUCUUGGCUCGAAUCUUCGAUUGAAGAUUCGAGCAGAUGCUGCUAGA